rnacentral:rRNA from 1 species
CCUACGGGUGGCAGCAGUGAGGAAUAUUGGUCAAUGGGCGGAAGCCUGAACCAGCCAAGUAGCGUGCAGGAUGACGGCCCUACGGGUUGUAAACUGCUUUUAUACGGGAAUAACGCGCCUUACGUGUAGGGCUUUGCAUGUACCGUAUGAAUAAGGACCGGCUACUUCCGUGCCAGCAGCCGCGGUAAUACGGAAGGUCCGGGCGUUAUCCGGAUUUAUUGGGUUUAAAGGGGGCGUAGGCCGCAGGUCCGCGGUGCUGUGAAAUGUCCGGGCUCAACCCGGGCCUUGCAGCGCGAACUGGCGGGCUUGAGUCCGCGGAAGGCAGGCGGAAUUCGUCGUGUAGCGGUGAAAUGCUUAGAUAUGACGAAGAACCCCGAUUGCGAAGGCAGCUUGCUGCAGCGGAACUGACGCUGAUGCUCGAAGGCGCGGGUAUCGAACAGGAUUAGAUACCCCAGUAGUC